rnacentral:rRNA from 1 species
UACGUAGGGUGCGAGCGUUAAUCGGAAUUACUGGGCGUAAAGCGUGCGCAGGCGGUUUUGUAAGCCAGAUGUGAAAUCCCCGGGCUUAACCUGGGAAUGGCAUUUGGGACUGCAAGGCUUGAGUGCGGCAGAGGAGACUGGAAUUCCUGGUGUAGCAGUGAAAUGCGUAGAUAUCAGGAGGAACACCGAUGGCGAAGACAGGUCUCUGGGCUGACACUGACGCUCAUGCACGAAAGCGUGGGGAGCAAACAGG